AAGGGACUGUGUGCUGAAGGUUUGUUGGAUAAGAGUCGGGAGUUGUUGGAUGAGGUUAUGAGGUAUGGUGUUGGGGUCACUCCUGCCUUGCGUGAAUCUGUGACCAAGGUUUUCAAAAAUGCUGGGAAAGGCGAAGAGAUUGAGAGGCUGCUAGAUACGAACCGAAUUGGAUACAAUUCCCGUCCAAGACCUGCAUACCGUCCACCACCGGCAAGGUACCCUUCUCAAUUGGAUAGAACACAUAACCCAACUUAUGGGCAUCCACAACAGCGCCCACCACUGCCUUCUGCUCAGAUGGCUGGAGUGCACAGCCCACCUUCUGAGUUUCCAUCUCAAAUGGCAGCACCUCAGAGAUACCAAACACGUUCUUCUCAAGUUGCAGGAACACAUAACCAAUCUUCUGGGUUUCAAAAUUCCCCUCCACACUUUGAUACUCGAAUUGGUGGAACACACAACCCGCUUUCUGAGUUUCCUUCUCAAACGGCAGCAUAUCAACGAUACCAAACAUCACCUUCUCAAGUGGCAGGAACACAUAACCAACCGUCUGGAUUUCAAAAUUCCCCUCCACACUUUGAUACUCAAAUUGGUGGAACACACAACCUGCUUUCUGAGUUUCCUUCUCAAACGGCAGCACAUCAACGAUACCAAACAUCACCUUCUCAAGUGGCAGGAACACAUAACCAACCGUCUGGAUUUCUGGCCCAAAUGGCAGCACAGAAUUCCCCACCACACUUCGAUACUCGAAUGGCUGGAGCAGAUAACAACCACUUUUCCUCGGGAUAUCCACCUCAAAUUUCAGGGCAGCAACGCCCACCACUG
rnacentral:lncRNA from 1 species